GACGAACGCUGGCGGCGCGCCUAACACAUGCAAGUCGAACGAGCGAGAGGAGGUUUACUUUCUCAAGCGAGUGGCGAACGGGUGAGUAACGCGUGAGGAACCUGCCUCAAAGAGGGGGACAACAGUUGGAAACGACUGCUAAUACCGCAUAAGCCCACGACCCGGCAUCGGGUAGAGGGAAAAGGAGCAAUCCGCUUUGAGAUGGCCUCGCGUCCGAUUAGCUAGUUGGUGAGGUAAUGGCCCACCAAGGCGACGAUCGGUAGCCGGACUGAGAGGUUGAACGGCCACAUUGGGACUGAGACACGGCCCAGACUCCUACGGGAGGCAGCAGUGGGGAAUAUUGCACAAUGGGGGAAACCCUGAUGCAGCGACGCCGCGUGGAGGAAGAAGGUCUUCGGAUUGUAAACUCCUGUUGUUGAGGAAGAUAAUGACGGUACUUAACAAGGAAGUGACGGCUAACUACGUG
rnacentral:rRNA from 1 species